GUUGCGGUGGCCGAGCGGUUAAGGCGUUGGACUCGAAAUCCAAUGGGAUCUUCCCGCGCAGGUUCGAAUCCUGCCCUCAACG
rnacentral:tRNA from 2 species